rnacentral:rRNA from 1 species
AUACGGAGGGGGCUAGCGUUGUCCGGAAUUACUGGGCGUAAAGCGCGCGUAGGCGGUUUGCCAAGUCAGGCGUGAAAGCCCCGGGCUCAACCCGGGAACUGCGUUUGAAACUGGCAGGCUUGAGGCCGGGAGAGGGUAGUGGAAUUCCCAGUGUAGAGGUGAAAUUCGUAGAUAUUGGGAAGAACACCAGUGGCGAAGGCGGCUACCUGGACCGGUUCUGACGCUGAGGUGCGAAAGCGUGGGGAGCAAACAGGAUUAGAAACCCCGGUAGUCC